CUUUCAGCAACGGAUCUCUUGGUUCUCGCAUCGAUGAAGAACGCAGCGAAAUGCGAUAAGUAGUGUGAAUUGCAGAAUUCAGUGAAUCAUCGAAUCUUUGAACGCACAUUGCGCCUCCUGGUAUUCUGGGGGGCAUGCCUGUUCGAGAGUCA
rnacentral:rRNA from 1 species